GAUCCAUUAGCUCAGUCGGUAGAGCACCUGACUUUUAAUCAGGGUGUCCGGGGUUCGAAUCCCCGAUGGAUCACCA
rnacentral:tRNA from 1 species